UAAUGAUAGUGAGGGAAAUUUCUAAGCAUACUUUCAAAUCUCUUCCAAGCUUGGUAAAGAUUCUCUCCUUCUUUUUAUGUGAAACUCAAAAUCUCACUUCUCAAACA
rfam:Capsicum annuum cultivar Zunla-1 chromosome 10, whole genome shotgun sequence